rnacentral:rRNA from 1 species
UACAGGGGGUGCAAACGUUGCUCGGAAUCAUUGGGCGUAAAGCGCACGUAGGCGGUUCGUUAUGUCGGAUGUGAAAGCCCUUGGCUUAACCGAGGAAGUGCAUCCGAAACUGGCGAGCUAGAGUACGAAAGAGGAUCGCGGAAUUCCCGGUGUAGAGGUGAAAUUCGUAGAUAUUCGGAAGGACACCAGUGGCGAAGGCGGCUCACUGGACUGGUAUUGACGCUGAGGUGCGAAAGCGUGGGGAGCAAACAGG